rnacentral:rRNA from 1 species
AGUGAACGCUGGCGGUAGGCCUAACACAUGCAAGUCGAACGGCAGCACAGUAAGAGCUUGCUCUUACGGGUGGCGAGUGGCGGACGGGUGAGGAAUACAUCGGAAUCUACUUUUUCGUGGGGGAUAACGUAGGGAAACUUACGCUAAUACCGCAUACGACCUACGGGUGAAAGCAGGGGAUCUUCGGACCUUGCGCGAUUGAAUGAGCCGAUGUCGGAUUAGCUAGUUGGCGGGGUAAAGGCCCACCAAGGCGCCGAUCCGUAGCUGGUGUGAGAGGAUGGUCAGCCACACUGGAACUGAGACACGGUCCAGACUCCUGCGGGAGGCAGCAGUGGGGAAUAUUGGGCAAUGGGCGCAAGCCUGAUCCAGCGAUACCGCGUGGGUGAAGAAGGCCUUCGGGUUGUAAAGCCCUUUUGUUGGGAAAGAAAAGCAGCAGGUUAAUACCCCGCUGUUCUGACGGUACCCAAAGAAUAAGCACCGGCUAACUUCGUG